rnacentral:misc_RNA from 1 species
AUGAGAACUUGCCCUCCGGGGUAGAUCUCCCACCCUCUGUUUACAUACUUUGUUGCUUUGGCAGGCCCGUCUUCGGACCGCCGGCUUCGGCUGGCCCGUGCCUGCCAGAGGACCCAAAACUCUUUAUAAUUUAUUGUCUGAGUACUAUAUAAUAGUUA